rnacentral:rRNA from 1 species
AUUGAACGCUGGCGGCAGGCCUAACACAUGCAAGUCGAACGGUAGCACAGAGAGCUCGCUCUCGGGUGACGAGUGGCGGACGGGUGAGUAAUGUCUGGGAAACUGCCCGAUGGAGGGGGAUAACUACUGGAAACGGUAGCUAAUACCGCAUAACGUCGCAAGACCAAAGUGGGGGACCUUCGGGCCUCACACCAUCGGAUGUGCCCAGAUGGGAUUAGCUAGUAGGUGGGGUAAUGGCUCACCUAGGCGACGAUCCCUAGCUGGUCUGAGAGGAUGACCAGCCACACUGGAACUGAGACACGGUCCAGACUCCUACGGGAGGCAGCAGUGGGGAAUAUUGCACAAUGGGCGCAAGCCUGAUGCAGCCAUGCCGCGUGUAUGAAGAAGGCCUUCGGGUUGUAAAGUACUUUCAGCGGGGAGGAAGGCGGUGAAGUUAAUAACUUCACCGAUUGACGUUACCCGCAGAAGAAGCACCGGCCAACUCCGUGCCAGCAGCCGCCGCGG